rnacentral:rRNA from 1 species
UACGGAGGUCUCAAGCGUUGUUCGGAUUCAUUGGGCGUAAAGGGUGUGUAGGUGGCGCCGUUAGUCGGGUGUGAAAUUUCGGAGCUUAACUCCGAAACUGCAUUCGAUACUGCGGUGCUUGAGGACUGGAGAGGAGACUGGAAUUCAUGGUGUAGCAGUGAAAUGCGUAGAGAUCAUGAGGAAGACCAGUGGCGAAGGCGGGUCUCUGGACAGUUCCUGACGCUGAGGAGCGAAAGUGUGGGGAGCGAACAGG